UACGAAGGUGGCAAGCGUUACUCGGAAUUAUCGUGGGCGUAAAGCGUGCGUAGGUGGUUCGUUAAGUCUGAUGUGAAGACCCUGGGCUCAAACCUGGGAAUGGCAUUGGAAACUGGACGACCUAGAGGUGCGGUGAGAGGGUAGUGGAAUUCCCGGUGUAGCAGUGAAAUGCGUAGAUAUCGGAAGGAACAUCAGUGGCGAAGGCAGGUCUCUGGGCAUUAACUGGACGCUGAGGAGCGAAAGCAUGGGGAGCGAACGAGG
rnacentral:rRNA from 1 species